GUGCGCCGCGUUUUGUCGCGGUGAGCGCGCGGAGGCCCGGGCUUCUUAAUGGUUUUCUGUUUUGCUCUGGCUGUUUUCUCACUCUUUUUUCCUGGCCUGAGCGAGGAGCGGGGCUGAGAAGAGUGGUAGAGUUUCAGAAACCCACAUCCACAGAGCCUUGGCGAAGAGACGGGAAACCGCCUCACCCCGGGUUCUUGUGUGGGCGCUGUUUACUGCACCCUCCUCGCCCGAGGCGACCUGACAGCGAAGCAGAGCGUAGGUCUAGGUGGCUGAGACGCCAGGGGAGGUGAAGUGACCGAAGGAAAUGUUUCCUGACAUAUUCGGUGGAUUUUUUUUAAAAACAUAUAGCAUCUGUAAGUUGUAUCGUCAAAGGUAAAUAAAAGAACCUGUGACGCUCAGCGAUAA
rnacentral:lncRNA from 1 species